GACGAACGCUGGCGGCGUGCCUAAUACAUGCAAGUAGGACGCAGUUGCGAACGGGUGAGUAACGCGUAGGUAACUACCUAUUAGUGGGGGAUAACUAUUGGAAACGAUAGCUAAUACCGCAUACUAGUAGCUGGACCUGCGUUGUAUUAGCUAGUAGGUAGGGUAAUGGCCUACCUAGGCAACGAUACAUAGCCGAGCUGGGAGGGUGAUCGGCCAAACUGGGACUGAGACACGGCCCAGACUCCGACGGGAGGCAGCAGUAGGGAAACAUCGGAAAUGGGGGGAACCCUGACCGAGCAACGCCGCGGGAGUGAAGAAGGUUGUCGGGUCGUAAAGCUCUGUUGUUAAGGAAGCGGUACUUAAACAGAAAGGGACGGCUAACUACGUGCCAGCAGCCGCGGUAAUAC
rnacentral:rRNA from 1 species